CCAUAAAUCAAUUAAAAGAAAACUCAAAAAUAAUGAAAGUCGGUAUUUAUAACAAACACUGCUAUCAUUUCCGGUGUUAAACAAGACAUUUCCAUUAGUAAUCUCAGUACUUUCAUAUAAAUACGUCUUUCGCUCAUCACGAAGCUCCAGUUGACGUUCGUAUUCGUCCUCCCAUCAGAAGUAAAGAAAUGAUUAACGCGAAUUAUCAUUUUCUGAAUAGAUCAUACUGUCGUCAUUAACCCUGGGAAAUGGAUUGCCCAUUACCAGCUGGGGCCCAACUACAUUUAACACUAAAAUAAUAUCACCAAAACCAUCACGUCUGUAUUUACCAACUGGACCAAACAGAUAUCCAGGAGUAAUUCCCCUACCAUUUAACAGUCUCGAUAAAAACACAAGGCCAAUUUAUGAGGUCGCUGAUGAAUAUGUGAAAGCUGAUCCUGAAAACAGUAGUGUCAUUGGUACGUCAACAAAACAUACGACGUCAUCCAUAAACCAUCAGCAACACGAACCAACCAGUAUUGUGGAGGACGGUAGCAGUACGAUAAAUCGUGAAAAAUUGACAAGGGAUAUUCUACUAGCCACCGCUGGAAUCACAUCCCUCGAUUGGUUUCUCACCAACAAAGGCUACAAUACUCCACUUCAUCCACCAGUCAGUCAACUUUUGGCGCUUUUGCUGUCUCAAUACGGUAGAUAUCUACCUAUCAAUAAUAUCAACAACGACACGCGUUUGCCUCGUGUUUAUUCCUACAUGACAGUAAACAACAUACACAAUAGCCGACCGUUUGGUCAAUACAAGUGGACCCGCGAUUUCCAUUCCGAUUUUCAUGGGGAUCAAUCGCUUUAAUUUUUAAAAUAAAGCUUACGUUUAUUUGUUUUUUUUUUUCAAAUGUUUAUUUAUGCCUUCCGUAAAUUUUUAAUAUAAAUAUCGACAAUGUUUCACUUGAAACUGAUAAAAUAAAUAUAAAAUACCAGAGUUGGGUUUGUCGGAAUAGGAAUUUUUUUUUUCGCCAAAAUAGUUUUAAAUUGCAAUUUAUUGCUGGUACAAAAUAUUCAAGAAUAAAUCAACAUUUUUUUUUAUAAACAUUUUAAAAAACAAUUAUUCUGAAUAACGAAAAUUUUGUGUUUGCAUAGCAAUGAAAUAUUUGUCAUAUUUUUAAAAAUAUAUAUUAGCAAAAUUUAAAAUAUUUCGCAUAUUAAAAGGCGAGAAAGUGAAUUUUUUAUGAGCGUCCCAUUUUGGCCAGUCCUAUAUAUUUAUUUAAAAAUGUCAAUAAGAGUUGUUUUACUAGUGAGAAUAUAUUUUAUAUAAAUAAAUUUAAAUCUGUUUCGAGGAAUUUCACACCUUAUUUCAGCAUUCUAUUUUUAUAAAUAUGAUUUAUUAAAAUUACCAAGAUAUUAUAAUGGAAAGAAAUGAAAAAUUAACGAUUCGCUGCCGUAUUUAUGAAUAUAUAUUUAAAAUAAGUUUAAAAAAAAGUUAAUGAUACAUGACUGGUGUAAAAGGCGUGAAAUAAAUAUACAUAUGUAUACGAAAUCAACAUAUAUUUUUAAACCCAGUUUUAGAAAUGUUGCAUCUGGAAUUUGAUUUAAUUUCGAAAUUAAACUCAUUAGUUUCUCAAUGUAUCGACAUAAAACUUACAGUAAAUUUUUGGACAAACGAAUAGCUGUUGAAAUUUCAUUAGAUCUAAAUUAUUUUUUCCUGGGUAGUCAAUUUUAAUCAGGGUCAAAAAAAUAACUUGAUUUUGGCGUAAUUUUGAAAAUUGAAAUUAAAACAAGUCAAGUUUAAGUUCCCUUUCUUAAUAAAAGAAAAACAUAUUUUUUAAGAUAUGACCCUAGCGGACCUAAUUUACAGUGGAAUCUUUCUAUAUUUGACUCAUCCGUCCAGAAUCUCUUUCUGUAUUUGACUCGUCCUUUCGUCUCCACUACAGCAACACUAUUGUCUCUUAUGCGCAGGUCUGCGCAGCUAAAUGCGCAGUGUGCAAUAACAGUUUCUAUGAUAUUAUUUGUAUAUAACCUCAAUUACUAAAUAGAAUAUUGUAUUGUGCAAUAAAAAAUGUCAAAGAAUUCACAAAAUUGUAAGGUAAGUUUAAAUAUUAUAUAUUUUUAAAGUAAGUGAUUUAAAUUUAGUAGAUUAAUAGAGCUUAAUGUUUGUAUUCAUAGCCCAAAAACAUUCAAAUCUACCCGCCACCAAGUUUUUUUUUUAUUGGUCGAACGAAGAGUCGUAGUGGGAGACAGGAUUGUCAAAUAUAGAGAGAUAAUUUGGUCAAAUACAGAGAGCGGUCAAAUAUAGAGGGGUCAAAUAUAGAGAGAUUAUACUGUACCGUAUUUUAUGGUAAAUCUACCGUGGAAAUUCGGUGGGAGUCACCGAAAUUUACCACAAUUUUACGGUAAAUUACGGUAAAUCCACCGCAAUUUACGGUACAACACCCUAGUUUACGGCGGGUUUACUGUAUUUUAUGGUAAAUUAGUCGUAAAUUGUGGUAAAGUUGUCGUAAUUUACGGUACAUCCACUGUAAUUAAUGGUAAAUCGGUAAUUUACGGUAAUUUGGGUCCGUUAGGGGAACACUUAUUUGGUUUUGACUUGCUUUUGACUAAGUUACCUUAAGUAUUACUGAUUUACGCCAACUAAGUCAAAUUUAACUUGGAUUUGACUUAAAUUUAAAAGUCAAAUCCAAGUAAAACUUGACUUAGUUGACUUAAACUUAUAAGUUAAAAAAGUUACAUUGAAGUUAAAAAAAGUAAGUGUAGCCAAAACCAAGUUAACGAAGUCAAAAAAGUCAAAAUUAAGUUAUUUUUUUGAUCUGGGGGCGUCUUAGAUAUGAUUCAAUUUCGAAAUUAAACUCAUUAGUUUUUCAAUGUAUCAGCAAAAAACUGUCAUUUUUUUGACAAUUAAAUAACUGUUGAAAUUUCAUUCGAUCUAAAUUACUUUAUUCCGGGUGAGCAAUUUUUCGUUUCUAAUUUCUGUAUCGAAUUUUUGAAAUUUUAAACUUAAAAUAGCUCAGUAUAUAUUCUGUUUUUACAAAAAGUAUAGGAGACCUUUUUUCUAGCAAAUUUUAACAGCUACAAAUAAAGUCUUUUACGUUUUUUCAAAUAACUCAAUAUUUACAGAGAUAUUUUCAAAAAACCAAUUAUACUUUUUUCUCAAUGACUUUGAAAUUUUUCAUAGGAAAUUUUGAAUUUAUUGAAUAAAAUUAAUUUCUUUUAAACUCAAAAUUAAAAUUUAUGAUAAAAAUCAACCGUUUCGUAAAAAAGUAUGAAAGAUCUCUAGCUGUUAAGGUUAAGAUAUUAAAAAUUAUCAAGAGUAUUAGAACUUUUAUUGUAUGGAAAAUUGGAAGCAUUCUCUAUCUAAUUAGUUGAGAGUGUUGGAGUUUAUAAAUGCAAUUUAAAAAAAAUAAAUCGACUGAGUUCAUUAAAAUAGAUGUAU